rnacentral:ribozyme from 12 species
AAAAAAAAAAAAAAAAAAAAAAGGUCACCGCUCGCGCAUCUGAAUGUUUUCUUUAAUUU